rnacentral:rRNA from 1 species
AGCGAACGCUGGCGGCAGGCCUAACACAUGCAAGUCGAACGAACUCUUCGGAGUUAGUGGCGGACGGGUGAGUAACACGUGGGAACGUGCCUUUAGGUUCGGAAUAACUCAGGGAAACUUGUGCUAAUACCGAAUGUGCCCUUCGGGGGAAAGAUUUAUCGCCUUUAGAGCGGCCCGCGUCUGAUUAGCUAGUUGGUGAGGUAAAGGCUCACCAAGGCGACGAUCAGUAGCUGGUCUGAGAGGAUGAUCAGCCACAUUGGGACUGAGACGCGGCCCAAACUCCUACGGUAGGCAGCAGUGGGGAAUCUUGCGCAAUGGGCGAAAGCCUGACGCAGCCAUGCCGCGUGAAUGAUGAAGGUCUUAGGAUUGUAAAAUUCUUUCACCGGGGACGAUAAUGACGGUACCCGGAGAAGAAGCCCCGGCUAACUUCGUG